rnacentral:rRNA from 1 species
UCUAGGAAAGGUAUAUAAUGAACUAUUCUUUUCUACGGGUCUUGACCAACACACGUGCCAGCAGUCGCGGUAAGACGUGGAAGACUUGCGUUAAUCAUCUUUAUUAGGUAUAAAGGUACCUAGACGGUUAAUUUAGCCUUCUCAAAUUGAGAGGGAACAGAUUAUACUAGAGUUUUAUGGGUAAGGAUAUAUCGUAUUGAUAGAGUAACGAUAAAAUGUUUUGAUACUAUUGAGAACGGAUAACGGCGAAGGCAAUCCUUUAUGUAAAAACUGACGUUGAGGGACGAAGGCAUGGGUAGCGAUCAGGAUUAGAUACCCUGGUAGUCCUUGCAGACAAUUAUGAGUGCCAUAGGUUUGGUAUAUUCACAAUCUAUAAAUGAAAGUGUAUGCACUCCACCUCAAGAGUAAUGUGGCAACACAGGAACUGAAAUCAUUAGACCGUCUCUGAAAUCAGUAGUGAAGCAUGUUGUUUAAUUUGAUAAUCCGCAAAAAACCUUACCAAUAGCUUGAAUAACAUAGUGGUAAUAUAUAGCAAAACUAUGUAUUAAUCACUAUAUACAGGUGCUGCAUGGCUGUCUUCAGUUGAUGUUGUGAAACAUAGGUUAGUUCCGUCAAAUUA